AUACGUAGGGAGCGAGCGUUGUCCGGUAUGAUUGGGCGUAAAGGGCGCGUAGGCGGCUUUGCAAGUCAGUAGUGGAAGUCCAUUUUUCAAGGAUGGAAGUGCUACAGAAACUGCGGAGCUUGAGUGCAGGAGAGGUUAUCGGAAUUCCCGGUGUAGCGGUGAAAUGCGUAGAGAUCGGGAGGAACACCAGUGGCGAAGGCGGGUAACUGGACUGCAACUGACGCUGAGGCGCGAAAGUGUGGGGAGCAAACAGGAUUAGAUACCCUGGUAGUCCACACUGUAAACGAUGAAUGCUAGGUGUAGGAGGUAUCGACCCCUUCUGUGCCGCAGUAAACACAGUAAGCAUUCCGCCUGGGGAGUACGGUCGCAAGAUUAAAACUCAAAGGAAUUGACGGGG
rnacentral:rRNA from 1 species